rnacentral:lncRNA from 1 species
AUGGAAGUAGGAGGGAACAGCAGUCAAACCAGCCACCAACCGGUGAUCUUUUCUUUUGAAAAGCAUGAGCCCGUUGACCCGUCAAUAGAUUCGAUUUCUAUCUGGACACAAAUCCAACCUGCUAAAGUCAAAGUACGAAAUGAUGUUUUAGUCAAUAACCUAAAAAGGACGGAUGCGAUAACCGAACUCAAUAGCAGGUGAACUGUUUUUAAGCAUGGCACC